rnacentral:tRNA from 1 species
GAGGGUGUAGUGAAAUGGUAUCACGCUGGUCUCCAAAACCAGAAGCAGGAGUUCGAUUCUCCUCACCUUUGCCA